rnacentral:lncRNA from 1 species
AGAGAACAUGAGAAUACAAGAUGACUGUGAUAAGCAAUCCCAGAUAUAGACGGAUCUGGAGUGCGGAUUUACAAAGUGGAACAACACCAUUUGAUCAUUCUUACUAUCAACAGAAGAUGACAUGAACCUUUAUAUGAAAGGUUAAUCGUGAAACAUUGACAUCAUAAACGACUCAAAAUAAAAGUAAGAAAGAAAAGAAGAGAAUGUGAGUUUGAAUGAGAAAUUGUGAAGAAUGAGUGGGCUUUUGUAAAAGGGACAUUUUGUUUUGUUUUUAUAUUGAGUCGUGUAACUCUAGUUUUUCUUAAAUCAAGCAAUUCUUAUGUGUUUUUGAUGUAAUUCACUACAAAAUCAUGUAAUUCGGCAAAGCAAAGCACCUCAUAAAGAAUUAGGAAGACACUGGAUGAAGAUUCAAGAAGCUUCUAAAGACAUUACAAAGUAGAGAAAUACUUGAGGACAAUCCACUCAAAAAUUUAUAAAGUUUAUGCUUCAUUUGUACGGUGCUAGGAAUUAGGA